GGUUAAGCGACUAAGCGUACACGGUGGAUGCCUAGGCAAUCAGAGGCGAUGAAGGACGUGCUAAUCUGCGAUAAGCGUCGGUAAGGUGAUAUGAACCGUUACAACCGACGAUUUCCGAAUGGGGAAACCCAGUGCAAUUCGUUGCACUAUCGUUUGAUGAAUACAUAGUCAAACGAAGCGAACCGGGGGAACUGAAACAUCUCAGUACCCCGAGGAAAAGAAAUCAACCGAGAUUCCCCUAGUAGCGGCGAGCGAACGGGGAGCAGCCCA
rnacentral:rRNA from 1 species